rnacentral:rRNA from 1 species
UUUGGGCGUUAGACAAUGUGGUGUUUAGGUUGGUGUUUUCGAAUGUUGCGACUGUGCUAACCAUGGAGUCGGGUUGUUUGAGAAUGCAGCCCAAAGUUGGUGGUAAACUCCAUCUAAGGCUAAAUACUGGCACGAGUCCGAUAGCGAACAAGUACCGUGAGGGAAAGUUGAAAAGUACUCUGAAGAGAGAGUUAACAGUGCGUGAAACCGCUUAGAAGCAAACGGGUGUAGUCAAGCUGCAAGCCUUAAGAAAUAGGUUGGUCAGAAUGGCGUGAGUCUGAGCAUACAGAGCUGCCAGGUAGGUCCGACUAUAUGUCGGGUUCGGCUCGCAAGAGUCGGAUUUGUGGAGCGUUUACGCGCUGCAUGCCUGCUUGUCAGUUGCUCUACUGGCCCUCUCAAUUUCUUUUGGCGUAUGUCACGACCGUCUUCGCUGUCGGUCUGCUCCAUUUAAACCGUUUCGUGAGUAGUUUCGUGCUGCUUGCGUUCUGGGGGCAGGUAGCUGAUCUAGUCUCGGCUGGAUUGGUGUAAUUGCUGAGUGGAGUGGUACCUGUAACUGUGCAGUAAGAUGGGGCUGGCGGUGCAUUGUUGCCGGGCGUGCGUGUGUUGUCGUGGUUGGCGUAUGGCUAUCUGUUGCUGUU